UACGAAGGGGGCUAGCGUUGCUCGGAAUUACUGGGCGUAAAGCGCACGUAGGCGGCUUUCUAAGUCGGGGGUGAAAUCCUGGAGCUCAAUUCCAGAACUGCCUUCGAUACUGGGAAGCUCGAGUCCGGGAGAGGUGAGUGGAACUGCGAGUGUAGAGGUGAAAUUCGUAGAUAUUCGCAAGAACACCAGUGGCGAAGGCGGCUCACUGGCCCGGUACUGACGCUGAGGUGCGAAAGCGUGGGGAGCAAACAGG
rnacentral:rRNA from 1 species